rnacentral:lncRNA from 1 species
UGCUAUGUAUGUUAUGUGGGCCGGAAGGCAAUAUGUUAUGGGCCGGAAGGCGAUUAUGUUAUGGGCCGGAAGGCGUUGUGUUGAGGACCGGAAGGUCAGGGCCUGGAAAGGCGUAUGUGCGUAAGUGUAUAUUGGGGGACUCACUAAGCAUUUAUGCUUACAGUGGUUAUGUAUGUGUUUCAGGUACUAGCGAGGACCGUGGGAAGGCGCCGGCGUGAUCGAUACACACUGAAGAAUGUUUUUAUGAUCUUGGGAUUUAGACAAUUUGUAUUUGACAUGACACUUAAAUUAUUUAUGCCUUGUUUUGAAUGAAAUUACUCUAUUUAUAAAAAGAAAAAUUUGUUUGAAAAUUUGCGUUGUUACAAUUGGUAUCAGAGCCUUGGUUUGAGGGAUUCGGGUGCACCUUCGGGAGUAACUGAACUCAAACCGAGGAUUUGAGGAAAACUUUUUAAAUAAAGGCAUAAACUUUUGUAAAUGGUUUUGUGGUAAGCAAGAAAGAAGCAGUGUGUACGAUCAGUCAGCGCCCGAACGGUAAAGAUCCCCAAAAUACCUUACAAUGUUAUAUGAUAUAAAUUGUUAUGCAUGCUAGAAGACUAGGUAUUCAUGAUAGGACUAGAGUGGCCUGAUUUGUGAUGCCUUAGUCUAGGGAAGUUUGCCGAUAUGAGAUGCUUUGCUAGUAUGCGGGUAGAUAGUGCAUAUCAGAAGUAGAGUACUCACUAUCCGGGGUUUGGGGAGGAAGACUUGGGAUGAAUGCUGAUGCGGUGUGGUCGGUAGUAUUGGGCCCGUACUACCGAAGACACCGGGUCAGUGGGAGACCCAAGUAAGAAUCCCUGGAUAUCGGAGACUGAGUAGGGUUGCGUUAUCGAGUGCGAUUAUACUCGAUGGAGUCUCUGAUAGUUUUAUGUUGUAUUUCAGAGACAUCAUGGUUAGACCACGCCACGGAGCGAGUUCGAGCGGUGUGAGUGACGAGGAGAUUCGUCAGAUGAUUCACGAGGAGGUAGCUGCGGCGAUCCGGGCUGAGAUCCCGGAGAUGUUUGGGUCUAUUAAGACCACCCUGAUGGAGACGUUUGAUGAGCGGUACGCCGCAUUGACUGAGGCUGCAACCGCUGCAGCUACCGCAGCUGUGGCCGCUGCUAGGCCACAGGGGGGUGACUCGUUGCUGUUCCGAGAGUUCAGCAACACGAAGCCACCGGAGUUCGAUGGGACGCAGGAUCCGAUUGCUGCGAUGAGGUGGAUCGCGGAUAUAGAGGGGUGCUUCUACACUUGUUCAUGCCCGGAGCACCUGAGGGUACGGUUCGCUUUGAACCAGCUCCGUCUGGGAGCGAAGGACUGGUGGAAGUUCGUGACGGCGAACUUCACUUUGGCAGAGACUACAGCAGUGACAUGGGAGGGGUUUACUGCCAUGUUCAGGGAUGAGUACGUUCCCCCGGUGGAGAGGGAACGAUUGGUUCAGGAGUUCUUAACCCUCAAGCAGGGUACUGAUUCGGUUGCGGUGAUCACGCGGAAGUUUCAUGAGAGGGCGAUGUUCUGCCCCGAGCUGGUGUCCACUGAUCAGGCUCGGAUGAGCCGGUACUUGGGAGUGUUGAGGAGGGAUAUCCGGGAGUUUGUGUCAAACUCCACUUACCAUACUUUUGCUGAGCUUCAGGCGAAUGCCAGGAAGCGCGAGAUCGAGUUGGAGACCCAGGCCAGGGAGGAGGCCGAGUCUCAGCGGGUGGACCGGCGACCGGCUCAGUUCCAGCCGGCAGCCAAGCGGACCAAGUCCGCUGAUUCGAGGACAGGAGGUUCGAAGGGUCGCACUUGCGGGAAGUGCGGCAAGAGUCAUGAUGGAGUAUGUCGAUCUGGUGCUUGCUACAAGUGUGGCAAGGAGGGGCACAUUGCUAGGGAGUGCCCCAAGGGAUUUACGGUUUGCUUUCAUUGCAACCAGACUGGCCAUAGGAAGGCCGAGUGCCCUCAGCUUCUUCAGGGAUCUGCACCUGCUGCCGGAGUUACUGCGACUCGACCGGUGAAGGCCGAGGCCCCGAGGGCUCGGGGAAGAGCCUUUCAGCUGACUGCGGAAGAGGUCCGCGCUGCGCCCGAUGUUGUGGCAGGUAUGUUGUAAUUCAUGUAAUUAUUUUAAUGUCGAUAUGUUAUGCUUAUGUUAUUAUGCGCGUAGGUACUUUCCUUGUGAACUCUGUGCCUGCCUUAGUGUUAUUUGACUCGGGUGCGAGUAGGUCCUUUGUGUCCUUAGCCUUUAGUCAGCAUAUCGGCGUUAGUCGUGAGUCGUUGAGUCGACCUUUGAGAGUUUCUAUAGCUGACGAGAAAGUGAUUUGUGCUACGGAGGUUCUUCGGGGAUGUGUACUAGAGAUUUUCGGGGUUGGAUUCCCGAUUGAUCUGAUUCCUAUCGCGAUGGGGGAUGUCUGUGUCAUCGUGGGCAUGGACUGGCUGAGCCGAUUCGGCGCUGUCAUCGACUGUGAGCGUCAGUUGGUGACUAUACGAGACCCUAGAGGGGGAGUUCUUUCGGUAUACGGCGAGGGUACCCGUUCGGGAUCAGCUUUUUGUUCGGCCGCUAGGGCGAGGCAGUGUCUACGGCAGGGCUGUAAGGGUUUUGUGGCGUAUGUGAUGGAUACGCGGGAGGUUUCCGAGAGACCGAAGUCAGUUGAGGAGGUCCCUGUGGUGCGUGAGUUUCCAGAUGUUUUCCCCGAGGAGCUGCCGGGAGUACCUCCUGUGAGGCAAGUAGAGUUUGGUAUCGAUCUGGUUCCGGGGGCCGCGCCUAUUGCUAAAGUGCCUUAUCGUCUUGCACCUCCAGAGAUGCAAGAGUUGUCCUCGCAACUCCAGGAGUUGCUGGGGAAGGGAUUCAUUCGGCCGAGCAGCUCGCCAUGGGGAGCACCUAUUCUGUUCGUCAAGAAGAAGGAUGGUUCACACCGGAUGUGCAUUGAUUACCGGGAGUUGAACAAGCUAACGGUCAAGAACCGUUACCCGUUGCCGAGGAUCGAUGAUUUAUUCGAUCAGUUGCAGGGAGCAUCUUGGUUUUCCAAGAUCGAUCUGAGGUCAGGAUACCAUCAGGUGAGAGUACGGGAUGAAGACGUCCAGAAGACAGCGUUUAGGACGCGAUAUGGGCAUUAUGAGUUUGUGGUGAUGCCUUUUGGACUCACCAAUGCCCCGGCUGUGUUCAUGGAUCUCAUGAACAGGGUAUGCAGGCCGAUGUUGGAUCGGUCAGUGAUUGUAUUUAUCGACGACAUUCUGGUGUAUUCGAGAUCUAGAGAGCAGCAUGAGGAGCAUUUGAGGGAGGUCCUUGAGGUAUUGAGGUCGGAGAAGCUUUAUGCAAAGUUCUCCAAAUGUGACUUCUGGUUGCGGGAGGUCCAGUUUCUAGGACAUGUGGUUAAUCAGAAAGGGAUAUUGGUCGAUCCGGCCAAGGUUGAGGCGGUGAUGAGUUGGGAGGUGCCGAAGUCACCCUCUGAGAUCAGGAGUUUCCUUGGGUUGGCAGGGUAUUAUCGGAGAUUUAUCAAGGAUUUCUCCAAGAUCGCAGUGCCACUCACCAGAUUGACCCGGAAGGGUGUUACAUUCUCAUGGGGGCCCGAGCAGCAGACCUCCUUUGAGACACUUCGCCAGAGAUUGUGCGAAGCCCCGGUAUUAGCUCUCCCAGAAGGGAUGGAAGAUUUCGUGGUAUAUUGCGACGCAUCGAUUUCGGGAUUGGGUGCAGUGUUGAUGCAGAGGGGUCAUGUGAUAGCUUAUGCGUCGAGGCAGCUGAAGCCUCAUGAGGCGAGAUAUCCCACGCAUGAUUUAGAGUUGGGGGCAGUAGUGUUCGCUCUCAAGAUUUGGCGUCACUACUUGUAUGGGGUUCGAUGUACGAUAUACACGGACCAUAAGAGUUUGAAGUAUUUGAUGGAUCAACCCAACCUAAAUAUGCGUCAGAGGAGGUGGUUGGAUGUGGUCAAGGAUUAUGAUUGUGAGAUCCUGUACCACCCAGGCAAGGCUAAUGUGGUAGCCGAUGCAUUGAGCCGCAGGGCGGAGAGCACUCCAUUGCGAGAUGUAUGCUUGAGACUGACUGUGAUGACUCCAGUAUUGGACGCUAUUCGUGGGGCCCAGGCAGAGGCUGUGCGACCAGAAAUGCGGAAGAAAGAGCGGGUUGUGGGGUUAAUCUCAGAGUUUGUCAAGGAUAGUCGAGGCCUUAUGACGUUUCAGGGUCGGAUUUGGGUACCGUUCGUGGGCGGUACGCGUAUUACGUUGAUGGAAGAGGCUCAUAGAUCGAAAUUCUCGAUCCAUCCCGGUGCUACAAAGAUGUAUUUGGAUUUAAGGAAGGAAUAUUGGUGGCCCUGUAUGAAGAGGGACGUGGCAUGGUUCGUUGAGAGGUGCUUGACCUGCCGUAGGGUUAAGGCUGAGCACCAGAGACCGCAUGGCAAGUUACAGCCAUUGGAGAUCCCCGAGUGGAAGUGGGAACAGAUCACUAUGGAUUUUAUCACCAAAUUGCCGAGGACUGCUAGGGGAGUUGACGCAAUUUGGGUGAUUGUGGAUAGGUUGACGAAGAGUGCACACUUCCUUGCCAUCAGUGAGAGUUCUUCAGCGGAAAAGUUGGCGGAGAUAUACGUGAAAGAGGUGGUGUCUCGGCACGGGGUGCCGAUCUCGAUUGUGUCAGACCGCGAUGUGCGCUUCACUUCCAGGUUCUGGAAGAAAUUCCAUGAGGAGCUGGGUACUAAAUUGCAUUUUAGUACCGCAUACCAUCCCCAGACAGACGGUCAGAGCGAGCGGACGAUUCAGACGCUGGAGGACAUGCUCCGAGCGUGUGUGUUAGACUUCGGGGGUAGUUGGGAUGCGUAUUUACCAUUGGCAGAGUUCUCCUACAACAACAGCCAUCAUUCGAGCAUUGGUAUGCCACCUUUCGAGCUGUUGUAUGGUAGGAGGUGUCGGACCCCCAUUUGCUGGGGAGAGGUGGGACAGAGAGUGAUGGGCAGCACGGAGAUCGUGCUCCAGACGACAGAGCAGAUUCAGCGAGUGAGACAAAGGUUAUUGACUGCCCAGAGCCGACAGAAGAGUUAUGCAGACAGGCGCCGAUCCGAGCUUGAAUUUCAGGUCGGCGACUUCGUUCUCCUGAAGGUCUCUCCUUGGAAAGGAGUGAUUCGAUUCAGGAAGAGGGGCAAGUUGGGGCCCCGGUAUAUUGGGCCAUUUCGUGUGAUUGCAAGGAUAGGUCGGGUAGCCUAUCGGUUGGAGUUACCAGCGGAGUUGGGUCAGAUCCAUGACACUUUUCAUGUGUCGCAGUUGAGGAAGUGCAUAGCCGAUGAGUCGGCAGUGGUUCCAUUGGAGGAUAUUCAGGUGGAUGCGAGCCUGAAUUACGCGGAGAGACCAGUGGCUAUCAGGGAUCGGAAGAUCAAGGUUCUGAGGAACAAGGAGGUACCUCUGGUGUUGGUUCAAUGGCAACACCGUAAGGGAUCGGAAAUGACUUGGGAACCGGAACGCGAGAUGCGGGAGCAGCAUCCGGAACUAUUUGCGGAGUGAGACUUCGAGGGCGAAGUCUAAUCCAAGUGGGGGAGAGUUGUAACAGCCCGAAAUCUCAGGUAUUGUUUAAAUUAUGUUUUUGGGUGAUUUAAGAGGGGACUCGGCGAGUUGGGGCCUAGACUCGCCGAGUAGGAUCGCAGACUUGGUCGCGGGAUCGCGACUGGACUCGACGAGUCCAGGUAUGGACUCGGCGAGUCGACGCUGUUCAGCAGAAACCCUAACCGUUCAGUUUGGAUCGUAUUUAACGCCUCUUAGGCCGUCAUUUUCAGUCUUUUGGUCAAUUGAGAGGAACCCUAAUCGCUGUGGACGCCUAGAGCAAGGGAGAAAGCUUUGGAACUUGGAAGAAUUGGUUAGGCAAGAAGAAGAGGGAUUUGGCUAAAGGAAUAUCAAGGAGGAUUGAGUCCUGAGAUUUGGGGGACACAGAGAGUGCGUUUUCAGGUAAUACUCGGACCAAAUCUGUUAUUUUGAUGUAUUUAUGAAAUUAGGGUUUAUAGAACCCAUUUAGUGAUUUGAUGAAGUAAUGCCUUGUUACCCCACGAUUAUAGUCUUGUAUUAGGACCUUUAGAGGUCCAGAAGGUCCCAUGCAUGUGUACUUCGGGACGAGACCUAUCUCAGGAAGCAGUUACUCGUCUGCAUGGCAUGGACUCGCCGAGUUGUUCUUCAGACUCGGCGAGUAGCUUGAAGAUUUACUGGGACUCGCCGAGUUGUUCAUCAGACUCGGCGAGUGGAGUCGGGGUGGCCCCGCGAUUCUUCCACGAGGACCUCGUCGAGUCAAGAGGGAUACUCGACGAGUAGAAAGGGAAUAUUCAGGAAUUUGUGAGGACGACUAGACUCGCCGAGUCGCCAUGGUACUCGCCGAGUCCAGUCGAGUUGACCGUUGACCGUUGACCAGAGUUGACCUAAGUCUGACUUCUUAGGGAUAGUCACACUUAGAUGAUAUGAGUGUUAAUGAGUUAUGUAAUGUUAUAGGAGGGUUGUAGCUCGUUGGUUUGUGCGCGAGUGAUUUCAGGAGUUGCUAGCUUUCAGCAUUUACGAGGUGAGUCUUCUCACUACACUGUACCCGGAAGGGUUUGACUUUGUGACCGGAAGGGCAGGUAUGAUAUGUGAUAUGUAUGCUAUAUGUGGUAAGUUAUUUGUUAUAUGUGUGCUAUGUAUGUUAUGUGGGCCGGAAGGCAAUAUGUUAUGGGCCGGAAGGCGAUUAUGUUGUGGGCCGGAAGGCGUUGUAUUGAGGACCGGAAGGUCAGCGCCUGGAAAGGCGUAUGUGCGUAAGUGUAUAUUGGGGGACUCACUAAGCAUUUAUGCUUACAGUGGUUAUGUAUGUGUUUCAGGUACUAGCGAGGACCGUGGGAAGGUGCCGGCGUGAUCGAUACACACUGAAGAUUGUUUUUAUGAUCUUGGGAUUUAGACUAUUUGUAUCUGAUAUAAUACUUAAAAUUAUUUAUGCCUUGUUUUGAAUGGAAAUACCUUAUUUUUAAAAAUGAAAAAUUUGUUUGAAAAUUUGAGUUGUUACA